AGUGGAGCUGCCUGUGGACACUGCCCUGAGUCAGGAGGAAGGGUACGAUGACUUUGAGCACACCCUACCCGGAAGUCACCAGCUUCCAGGAGACAAUGGCCUGAAGAGAAAGCCCCAGUCACCCCAGGGGAGGCAGGGAAGCAUCUACCUCUGGCUCUAUCUCUAGCAUCAUUCUUUCUCUCUGGGUCUCUGAGUUCUUAGGUCAGGGAUGGUGUCUCUCUUGCUAAUAGCCCUGUCUCCAGAAGCACACAGGCUUGGCACACACAGCGCCCGCGCACAUGGACGCUCCAAUUACAGCUCUAGAGGCUAGAAAUUGGCAGUCAGGAUGUGUGUAAGGCCACGCUCCCUCUGAAGACUCCAGGGGAGGAUCUUUCCUUGCCUCCUCCAGCUUCUGGUGGCUGCCAGCAUCCUUGGCAUUCCUUGGCCUGUGGACACAUCACUCUCAUCUCUGCCCAUGGUCACAACCCCAAGCUCCAGAAUACAGACCAGCAGGCGAGGAGACAAGGAGGCAAGCAGAUGGAUGGUGGAACAAAGUGGCAGAGAAAGAGAGAAGAGGAGAGAUGUCUGGACGCCAAGAGGAGUCUGGCUGGGGCCAGUCAGAGAAGAGUCCAGCGGCUGGGCAGCCCGACUCCAGGGGAAGAUCACCUUCCCACUCCAUCCCCCUUCACGCUCCCCAUCCAUCUCACUAAGAGCCAUCUCUACCACUCAAUAAAACCUUGCAUUCAUCCUUCAA
rnacentral:lncRNA from 10 species